AUGGCAGUAGUGGAAACAGAUUUGAACAGCACUUGUCAGGGGGUUGCCCUGUCGGUGCCGGCGUCCGAGCAAUCUACAGGGAAGGACGACCCUGAAGCCCCUGGCUGGACGCGAAGAGAAAAAAACCGAAACUGUGAUAGUUCCUGCUAUGGGAGCCAGUUUCGAUACGCUGGGGAAGCUUACGACUACUACAAUCUAUAUUCAUGGGAGGUUGGGUUCGGAGUGAGAUACGACAAGAGCCAUCUAAAUGUUGAGAGAACAAAAUGCAUGCAGGAGAUAGUUUGCACACACAAAAUGCAUGCAGGAUACGGUAAAAGAAAUUGUUCCAGCAAUUGCACACACAAGCGGGAACGUUAG
rnacentral:rRNA from 1 species